AUAAUGGGUCAGCGACUUAUAUUCUGUAGCAAGGUUAACCGAAUAGGGGAGCCGAAGGGAAACCGAGUCUUAACUGGGCGUUAAGUUGCAGGGUAUAGACCCGAAACCCGGUGAUCUAGCCAUGGGCAGGUUGAAGGUUGGGUAACACUAACUGGAGGACCGAACCGACUAAUGUUGAAAAAUUAGCGGAUGACUUGUGGCUGGGGGUGAAAGGCCAAUCAAACCGGGAGAUAGCUGGUUCUCCCCGAAAGCUAUUUAGGUAGCGCCUCGUGAAUUCAUCUCCGGGGGUAGAGCACUGUUUCGGCAAGGGGGUCAUCCCGACUUACCAACCCGAUGCAAACUGCGAAUACCGGAGAAUGUUAUCACGGGAGACACACGGCGGGUGCUAACGUCCGUCGUGAAGAGGGAAACAACCCAGACCGCCAGCUAAGGUCCCAAAGUCAUGGUUAAGUGGGAAACGAUGUGGGAAGGCCCAGACAGCCAGGAUGUUGGCUUAGAAGCAGCCAUCAUUUAAAGAAAGCGUAAUAGCUCACUGGUCGAGUCGGCC
rnacentral:rRNA from 1 species